rnacentral:rRNA from 1 species
ACGAACGCUGGCGGCGUGCUUAACACAUGCAAGUCGGACGGAAAGGCCCUGCUUUUGUGGGGUGCUCGAGUGGCGAACGGGUGGGUAACACGUGAGUAACCUGCCCUUGCCUUUGGGAUAACUUCAGGAAACUGGGGCUAAUACCGGAUAGGAGCUCCUGCUGCAUGGUGGGGGUUGGAAAGUUUCGGCGGUUGGGGAUGGACUCGCGGCUUAUCAGCUUGUUGGUGGGGUAGUGGCUUACCAAGGCUUUGACGGGUAGCCGGCCUGAGAGGGUGACCGGCCACAUUGGGACUGAGAUACGGCCCAGACUCCUACGGGAGGCAGCAGUGGGGAAUAUUGCACAAUGGGCGGAAGCCUGAUGCAGCAACGCCGCGUGCGGGAUGACGGCCUUCGGGUUGUAAACCGCUUUCGCCUGUGACGAAGCGUGAGUGACGGUAAUGGGUAAAGAAGCACCGGCUAACUACGUG